CUGCAGCCAGCUGAGCUGGCCAGGCCCCCUUCUUCAUGGAGGCCUGUGUGUAAUGGCUACAUACAGCAGCCUGCUGGGUAGCACAUUCAACCUGCUACCUAUAUGGGUUCCCUAAGGGAUCUUGGAGGCAAUU